GUCGACACGACACAUGUAUAAAAUAUACAUGUACGAUCUACGAUGUACAUUCAAGCAAUACUUCCCACAUUGUACAUUGUGUGUACAAUACAAGUCAUCUGUAACUCAGACUCAGAGCCAGCCAACAGUUUUAAAUUCAGUACAAUGUGAGACGCCGUUAAGUGUCGUUAUAUUUGAAUUACUCGAGAUUUAAAAAUACUCACCUAUCAACAGAACCAUUGUUUACUUUUUAAUUAGUAGUAAUAUUUUUAAUCAUCUUCAUCAAAUUAUUUCUAUUAUGCACUCAGUGAGAUGGUGACUGUGAGCAUAGUAAUCAGUGAUUGAAUCUGCUAUGUGGUUUUACUUUUAUUUAGAUUGGAUUACCCGUAAAUUCCAGAUUAUAUUGGAGCAUAGAGUCUGGAUGAGAUGGGAUAGAAGCUUUUAACGGGUUCUUUACAACCGAGUGAGCGCAAUACAAGAUUUAAUACAGUAAAACUCAAACUAUUGGUAUGCUACAUAGACACAACAUGUGUGGUACGGAUACUGACACACACAGGCGGCUAUUAACUCUGACCACUUGUCAAACAGGUUUUAUUCUCUCCACUCAUUAUAUGCAUGU